rnacentral:tRNA from 1 species
UUGAUAGGUUGCUGGUGUGCCUCGCGGUCUUCAAAACCGUUGUGGGGGGUUAAGAGCCCUCUGGGUGGGUUCGAUUCCCACCUCCU